rnacentral:rRNA from 1 species
GUGAACGCUGGCGGUAGGCCUAACACCUGCCAGUCGAACGGCAGCACAGUAAGCGCUUGCUCUUACGGGUGGCGAGUGGCGGACGGGUGAGGAAUACAUCGGAAUCUACUUUUUCGUGGGGGAUAACGUAGGGAAACUUACGCUAAUACCGCAUACGACCUACGGGUGAAAGCAGGGGAUCUUCGGACCUUGCGCGAUUGAAUGAGCCGAUGUCGGAUUAGCUAGUUGGCGGGGCAAAGGCCCACCAAGGCGACGAUCCGUAGCUGGUCUGAGAGGAUGAUCAGCCACACUGGAACUGAGACACGGUCCAGACUCCUACGGGAGGCAGCAGUGGGGAAUAUUGGACAAUGGGCGCAAGCCUGAUCCAGCCAUACCGCGUGGGUGAAGAAGGCCUUCGGGUUGUAAAGCCCUUUUGUUGGGAAAGAAAAGCAGCAGGUUAAUACCCCGCUGUUCUGACGGUACCCAAAGAAUAAGCACCGGCUAACUUCGUG